rnacentral:lncRNA from 1 species
UCCAGAGAUUCCUUGAUGCUUCAUUCAACAUGUAAGUACAGACCAGAAGGCAAAAGCUCAUAGAAACGGCAAUGGGAGUUGUGGAUAGAUAUUUAAGCGUCCUUCCCUUCAAGCAGACACCUCUGGUGGGCACUCUGAAGACCCUUCAGGAAGUAUGGAUCUCACCCUAUGGUCCAGGCUGGAGUGCAGAGGCAGAAUCUCAGCUCACUACAACCACCUCCUACCUAACUGAAGAGAUCCUCCCAUCUCAAGAGUCCUGACUGGCUGGAACUACAGGUGCUCGCCACUACACCUGGCUAAUUUUUUAAUUUUUUGUAAAGACGAAGUCUCACUAUAUUGUCCAGGCUGAUCUCCAACUCCUGGGCUCAAGUGAUCCUUCUGCUUCAGCCUCCAAAAGUGUUUGGAUUACAGGAAUGACCCACUCCAUGUGGCCCAAAACACUGUUUUCUAAUUUUACUUAGGUCACCUACUUUCUUCCCCAUUCACUUCAAUGUGACUGUGAAUAAUUUGUAAUAUGGUUAGACACAUUUCUUG